rnacentral:rRNA from 1 species
CCUACGGGAGGCAGCAGUGAGGAAUAUUGGUCAAUGGACGAGAGUCUGAACCAGCCAAGUAGCGUGAAGGAUGACUGCCCUAUGGGUUGUAAACUUCUUUUAUAAAGGAAUAAAACGAGGCACGUGUGCCUUUUUGCAUGUACUUUAUGAAUAAGGAUCGGCUAACUCCGUGCCAGCAGCCGCGGUAAUACGGAGGAUCCGAGCGUUAUCCGGAUUUAUUGGGUUUAAAGGGAGCGUAGAUGGGUUGUUAAGUCAGUUGUGAAAGUUUGGGGCUCAACCGUAAAAUUGCAAUUGAUACUGGCAGUCUUGAGUGCAGUUGAGGCAGGCGGAAUUCGGGGUGUAGCGGUGAAAUGCUUAGAUAUCACGAAGAACCCCGAUUGCGAAGGCAGCUUACUAAACUGUGACUGACAUUGAGGCUCGAAAGUGUGGGUAGCAAACAGGAUUAGAUACCCCUGUAGUC